CCAUUUAAAAGAUAAACAUGGGCCACAGGAUCCUGAACAGACCCAGAGUGCAGGCCCUGCGAGUGAGUAAGAUGACCCGGGGCCUGGCGGGAUACUGAAUAGACCAGGAGCGAAGUCCUGGCCAGUGAGUGAGACGA